rnacentral:rRNA from 1 species
CCUACGGGUGGCACCAGUGGGGAAUAUUGCACAAUGGGCGCAAGCCUGAUGCAGCCAUGCCGCGUGUAUGAAGAAGGCCUUCGGGUUGUAAAGUACUUUCAGCGGGGAGCAAGGUGUUGUGGUUAAUAACCGCAGCAAUUGAUGUUACCCGCAGAAGAAGCACCGGCUAACUCCGCGCCAACAGCCGCGGUAAUACGGAGGGUGCAAGCGUUAAUCGGAAUUACUGGGCGUAAAGCGCACGCAGGCGGUCUGUCAAGUCGGAUGUCAAAUCCCCGGGCUCAACCUGGGAACUGCAUUCGACACUGGCAGGCUAGAGUCUUGUAGAGGGGGGUAGAAUUCCAGGUGUAGCGGUGAAAUGCGUAGAGAUAUGGAGGAAUACCGGUGGCGAAGGCGGCCCCCUGGACAAAGACUGACGCUCAGGUGCGAAAGCCUGGGGGGCAAACAGGAUUAGAUACCCCCGUAGUC